GAAGAAAACAAUACCACAACGAAGCUAAGAAUUAAAAUGUUACUACAACUACAUAUUACCUAGGUAAGUAAUUGUUAAAAUGGUAGAAAAAUUCAAUUCAGCGAAGAUGACAUUUAGUUGUCAAAAAAAGAGCUUUUAAAAAUGACAUUUUACAACACAAACAUGCAAGAAAAAGUAUAUGUUUUCUACAAUAAAGGAGGAAGAUUUUGUUAAGCUUUGUCAAUACUACACUAUUAAGAAAGAAAAACUUUUCCUCACUGAAUUUCACUUCUUUUCUAAUCAUCAUCUUUGCAAUGGCCAUCAUAGAUAGUUUUUUGUGUGCAACGAAAGGAAAGAGAGGCAACAUUACAUCGAUAAAGAGGAAACAUAUAUUUAAAUCAGAUUGCUUUGAGUUGGAAGUCCAACGAAAAGAGGAAGACUCAAGUUCCGGAGUGAUUGUUCGACUAUUUGAGG